CUGCUGCAGAGAGGCUUAAAGCAGCGUAUAACUUUCAUCUCAAAAUUUUUUUUUUCAAAUUUGUGAAACCCCAGUGAUAGCCUAAAUAUCACUAAUCCAUUAGUCUUUCCGUGCUUAUGCACCUGAAUC